AGUGAACGCUGGCGGUAGUCCUAACACAUGCAAGUCGAACGGCAGCACAGUAAGAGCUUGCUCUUACGGGUGGCGAGUGGCGGACGGGUGAGGAAUACAUCGGAAUCUACUUUUUCGUGGGGGAUAACGUAGGGAAACUUACGCUAAUACCGCAUACGACCUACGGGUGAAAGCAGGGGAUUUUCGAACUUUUGGGGAUGGAUUGAGCCGAGGUCGGAUUAGCUAGUUGGGGGGGUAAGGGCCCACCAAGGCGACGAUCCGUAGCUGGUCUGAGAGGAUGAUCAGCCACACUGGAACUGAGACACGGUCCAGACUCCUACGGGAGGCAGCAGUGGGGAAUAUUGGACAAUGGGCGCAAGCCUGAUCCAGCCAUACCGCGUGGGUGAAGAAGGCCUUCGGGUUGUAAAGCCCUUUUGUUGGGAAAGAAAAGCAGCAGGUUUAUACCCCGAUGUUCUGACGGUACCCAAAGAAUAAGCACCGGCUAACUUCGUG
rnacentral:rRNA from 1 species